AAGUUGGGGCACAGAGGCUUGGGGGAGGUUAGUCCAAGACUGAGGAGGUUCUGGAGCAGAAAUGGGGAGAGAAAGAAGCACGUUUUGUGAUUGCACAGUCGUGGCUCUGCCCCUGGAGACCAGCAUGCGGCAUUGAGGAAACCAACAGGCACUGGCUGAAGCUCCAGCAACCUUCUCCCCUCUCCAGCUGGUAAGUGAAUUUAAACAGACUCUUUUCCAGUCACCCUGGAUGUGGUGUAGUGACAGGAUGCUGUAGGUCAGGCUGACGGUUGGACUUGAUGAUCUUGAAGAUCUUUCCUCACCUAGAUAAUUAGGUGAUUCUGUCAUCCUCCUUGCUGCUCCUAGAAACCACACUAGUAGAAGUGUCAAGAAUCGCCUUCCUCUGCCGUUGAGUGACUAGGAAACUUUAUCUGUUGCCUUGGGUUAUGGCCCGGCCUCCUUGCCUGUAGAUUAUUUUCCUUGACACCAAAGGGGGCUGCCUCACCGGGGCUGCAGCAUGCACCACAUGCGCCCUCAUGCUCAAAUACACAGCAGUGGGCCGUGCUUCAAGGCCCUCGGUGGACAGGAGGAGCAGGCUGUAUAUAUGUGAAAACACCUGCGGAGCAUGCCUGCUGUUCCCCGCUGAAUCGUGGCCGUUUGUGGGGCACAGUGGGAGCUGAAGGGAGCUGCAGCCCUGCUGUCCCCUCUUGUCACCCCUCUGCUGGGGAGGCCUGCAUCCUGCCCCUGUCUGGAGCAGAAUUUGGGGACUGGAGAUAGCAGACAGAGCACAGAGCUGUGGUUUGGUGACUAGUGAAUGUGUCGGGAAGGACAGAAGCUCAGUGCGAGCUGACCUUUGGCUAGAAGGCAAAAACAGCAAGGGAGCUGUACCUCUUCCAUCACGUCUGGUUUUAAGGAGCUGCUGCUGCAGGUUGCACUGAAGACUUGGGAAGAAAUAAGCGUACAUGCACUCUUGCAAAUCAGCGCCUCCCACAGCUCUGUGCAGGGCUCCCUGCCUCCCUUUGGACACCUCGGUGAAGAGUAAUAGCAAAUGCAAAGAGAGACUUUGCAUUUUUGCUUGCAGAUCCCAAACUGGGGGUGACAGGCAUACACCAGUUUUAACAAUGGGACUUAAUCACAGUCUGAUCUCUCCCCACCUCGCACCAGGAUAUCUCAUUCUUUAACUAGAAAAAUAUUUAUAUGUUAUCUUGGGCAAUAGAGGAGGAGAAGACGGGAGGAGGUUUGCCAAAGCUUGUUGCAAAUAUAUUGUAGGGUAAUGUUAUUUUGUCUUACUGUCUCAUGUUCAGAUUCUGCAUUUAUCAUUUUUAGACCUUAAACCUUAAAUUGUUGUAAGAUAAGCAGACUACCGCACUCUGAUUGCACUGCCAUGCCUGUACUUUUAUUAUAGUUUUAAGGUUCUGAUAAUGAAUCACCUUAAAGAAAAGGCAAAUUGCUUUGGCUGCAGUAAGUAUUUAUUUCCAAGCUCAGCCAGGCUUGCAGUAUUUCUCGGUGCCUCUUUCAUUCUGAAUGUAUAAUGCUUAGUUUUGGGGUAAUUGCAAAGUCUGUAGUGCUUUACCUCAAAACGCUGUUUUGGACUGUCUCCCUUGGACUACACCUUAGCAUAGCUUUGGUUUGGAAGAAGCUACGUUACACAAAAAAGCCCUGCCAAGCUGUGUAAUGAACUGCAAGGAGGGCUGCUGCUGCUCCAGUCUCCCUGUGCCAUGUACCGCUGGGCGGCCAGGCCUGGUGACUGUAAAUGACCCCCCCGGGUCUGCUGUUUUUCGCUCCAGUGCCACAGCUUAACUGGAGAAUGGAUUCAGCAAGUGGGGAAGGAAACACUUUUAAUCAGAAGCAGGAAUCAUCAGGCCAGCUUGCCAAAACAGACUAGGAACAGUUUAUACAGCCGUUAGGAGGGCUUAGCAUAAAGCGUCUGGACAUGCGAGACAUCAGCACACAAACAUGAUAUGCCCUGAAUUUUUAAUUAUUUUGGCCUGCAACAGCAAAAAGCAUUUUAAAGGAUCGGGAUCCUUUGUAGUGCUGAAUAACCCUGACUCCAGUCGCACUCCUCAAACCCCGCCGCGCUCGGCGCCUUCCCACGAGGUGCCUCUGGUGACAGCCCCAUGCGGCCUGCCCUCCCAGCGAGCCGCCGCCACCACCCCAGGGAGGGAAAUUACGGGAGCAACCUGACUCCAUCAAGAACCACAAGGCAUUCCUUGUAUGUGAAAUUACUGCCGAUUCGAGAUUUCUACAGAGCUCUGCUGCCGCUUACUUACAGAAACGUGUUUUCACAGCUUAAAUGCAUUAACCCGUAUCGGGCCUUAGGCUUCUACGUGGGGUUUGACGUGUCUUCAGGAGAUCUUCAGGACCUGCAAAGGAAACUAUGUGAACUAAGUAGCAAAGUGAAGACAAAAGGCUACUCCUGGAAAUUAAAAAAUAACUGAAUUUAGAUCAAACACUUGGAAAUGUGGCUUUUGCCCUAAAAGGUUAAUGAGCGUUAGGAAUUUUUUGCCGUAGGACGUUCCUUGUGUAACUAUUAAAAGGCAAGAUCAAAACCCAGCAUCAUCUUUUGAGUGCCAAUGUCACACCUGGAUAAAAACAAGCUAGAUCAACCCUUAUGAUAUUUGCUCCCGGACACGCUGCUGAAUCCCUGGCUAUGCUUAGGAUAGGAAGGAAUUUCCUCAUGUGGUGAACUGGCAAAGCCUUUGAGUUUGUCUUCUUCUUGUGCAUUGCUCAAUAACUGUCUUUUGGAAUCUUAUUUCACAUUUUUUGACUCUCUGUAGCCUCAUGAUCAGAGCUGAACGUUAGCCUUUUCCCAGCAUUGGGCCCUGUUUUGUUUCUAAAUAUUUCUUCUGCUUUACUGAACAGGUAUGGGCUGUUUGUUUGUUUGUUUUUAAUAUUAUUAUUAUUUCAUUGCAAGGAUACUCUAGUAAUCCCAAAGGUAAUCUAGAUUACCUGGAAAUCCUAGUCCACCUGGAAAACUGCAGGGAAAGGAAGAGGGUUAAGAGAAUAAUUAGCUAUUCAGUAAGUUACAGCCUCCUACUCCGCUAUCUAGAACAUCAGUGGAUUGUAGGAUGCUCCAAUGUUCAGAAGUGUAGUCAAAGCAUGCUUCAUGUCGGGGCAGCAGUACCCAUAAGCAGCAACCCCUCUGCUUCCAUAUGAGACUGGAUCAUUGUCAGGCCUAGUAUGAGGUGCACCAAAGUAAUUCCUAAAUCUUGCAGUUAAUGACAAAACUUCUUUAUUGUUCCACCGCUGUUAUGUUUAUGAAAACAGUCUGUAUGCAUGAUGGAUGCCUAUGCAGACUGAAUUACUCUUAUUUUGUUGCUUCCAGAUCUUUAUGAACAGCCCCAGGGUUUGUUUCAUUUUGGUGUCCUUGUUAACCUGCGUGUAGUCAUCUGUACUCGAAGCCAAUGCGAGACUUUGCACUGGACUCACAGAAAGCAGGCUUUGCCUUGGGUCAAGGGAUGCAGCAACAACUACUGGAUCUGGUGUUUCUCUAGUUGUUUUGUCUGCUCUGCAAAAGGUAAAUGGAUAAAAAUAUAGGCCCUGAAUUGGCAUACGCCUCUCUUUUAUGUUCAGCCCCUGUGAUUAGAAAACCACCAAGACUAGACAUCUACAUGAAGGUUGUCUUGUGAGCAUGUGGGCAAGCUGAAAACUACAGCCGAAAGAGAAGAGUAAGUCAGAUCAUUCCUCCAAAAGGGAUAUUCACUUCAGCAUGUUGUAGCUGUGAGUGGCGUUUGCAGUUUGAUAGCUUAUCCCAUUAGUUAAACUGGUUCUCUCUUAGGACUACUGGGAGAGUUUUCCCAGAGAGGCCAUUGCUAUCCUCCCUUCCCUCUAACGCCUUGGCAGCGCUUAUCUGAUUUAAUAUCUUCCUCGCUGUUCAUGGGUUGUCCCUGGAUCAGAGGCUGCUCGUGCAAAACGACAACCCCAACUACGUGACCAACAAAGUGCUCAUUGCUGCCAUCAGCUCUGCCAGUGCACAAAGCUUAAAGGGCUCCUUGUCAGGGCCCAGCCCCUCACACUGGAAUCCCUUUCAUUUAGGAAGUCAAUAGCAAAUGCUCUUUCAGCUUCAGCUGUGUGGGAGUAUGUGCCCUGCCUGGACAAAAAGAAAGGAUUUGGUCCCACCAGGGGAGUUGGGUGCCUAUCACAGAUGCUCGCUGCAGGUGGUGCAUAAAAGGCAGGUGGGCAGGCAGAAGCUCCUGCUCCUUCUACCAUUAUUUUAUCAUUGAUCACCAUUCAUCAUAACUGUGAUUUCGUUGUUAUUGCUGUUGAUCUGAGGAACACAUGCUGAGCACGCUUCCUAUUUGCACCUGACAGAGAGGGAGCAUCUCAAAAUAUCCCUGAGGGUUUUUGAGAUCACAGGCCUCGGAAAGAUAACAAAAUUAACACAUGAAACUCCUCUUGGUUUUCCUUACGCUUGCUGACAAGGUUAGCAAUAACCCUUCUUUGUGAGAGCGUAUUUCGUGUCCUCUACCAAUGCAUCCAGACUGGCAAGCUUUCAGUCUCAUUUAUUAUAUCUUAUUUUUCUUAUGGAAAGGGUGGUGAAAUUAGAGACAAAUUAGAUAAAACCAUCACAAAUUAUAAAAGGCUGAAUACAAAAAGAAAUUAAAUAACAGCAACAGCAACAACAGAACACCAUUUUUUUUCCUUUGCUAAAUUGAAGCAUAACCUGAAGACUGACCCUGGUCAACUCAUAUUUAAUAUGUUCCCCUCUAACUUGAGUUGGAGGUGGUUUAUGCAGCUCUGUUGGGAAGUGAACAGCGAAGCCCAAGCUUGGUGAAACUGCAGUGAUUAGACUGAGUGUGGUCUGUGAUGUGGCUGCUGGUGGCGGAGCCAAGCUGGCUGUCCUCAGACGAGUUCCUCUUGAGUUACGGUAACUCAAGCAAUUCUGACUUUCUCCUACAUGCCAGCCCUUAGCUAUUCCUGGAAUUGAAUGCUAGGCAAGUAGCAUGUGUUUUAAUAGAAAAACAUCAGUUUGAUAUCCAAUUUUCUCAUUCUCAUAAAGAAAUGUUAAUUUUUCUAAGUUAUGCUGAUUUUUCCCAAGCACCCCCUUCUUCUCCCCCAUGUUCUGCCUUGUGAUGGAAGCAGUUUAUGUUGAAAGAAAGUGGAACCUGUUCAUGGCAAAAGGUAGACAUGGUCCGGAUGCUUCAGAGGAUCAUCUUGGAGGUGAUAAUUCAUUUCCUACCAUCAGUCAGUGCCUGCAACCACCUGCUUUUGGAAGAGAAUGCCAGGAUGAUGUCACUCAAAGGCCACAGAGAAGUACUGCAGAGCAAGAGGGAAACUGUUUCCUGUUUCCUUUGCUCAAGUGUCUUGCUAUUUAGUGAAAUAGCAUUUGCAAUGGGAAUUUGUGCCCUCUCCAUCAGUGCUGCUACACCCAAACAGCAACCAAGCAGAAAGGCACAGCUACUCUCAAGUUUGUGGCACGGAAUUGCUCACCAAGUAAGGGAUGCAGCAAGUGGCUUUAGGCUUUUUCCUUCUGCCCUGCUCACACUGCAUGUGGCUCCAAGACUAGUUUGCGGUCCAUGUGAGGUAACUAGUAGGCUUUUCCCCUCCCUGUCCUUUAUGCUUUAGGUGUUCCCACUGCUGUUGUUCCAGUUUCAUGCAAAAGGAAGCUCGCUGGGCCCAGGGACAGUAUAGCCUGUUUGAACUCCAUCCCUGCACACAUCCACAUCUGCUGUUAACGCCAAGCCUCAUCUACACCUACUGCUCCUGCCCUAUGAUACUGCUCAAGCGUGAACCUUGGCAGGGAUAAGCUGUCUUUCCAAGUAUUUUUACAGAAUGGUAAGUUUGACGGAUUUUUACCACCCCAUAGAAAUAUUUUUCUGUCUGUCCCAGGCACUACACUGACGUAGUUAUACUGAUAGCUGGGAAAAACCAGGGCUGAGCCACAUACAGAUGAUCCCUUUGUGGGCUGCCUGCUGCCUGAU